rnacentral:lncRNA from 1 species
GAUGGGCUUUCUUGUUCAAUGUGGUGACUAAUAGAUUUGAUCUUAGGGAAAUAGUCUUAACGGUUGUCAGUUCAUGUGGCCCCAGCCAACCUAUGAAAAGCUCGAUAGGGUUCUAAUGACAACUAAACAGGAGCUUAAUCAUUGGUGAUUGUACAACUCUGGAUAGAGGUAUUUCAGAACGUAUCCGCUGAUAUUAGACACAGGCAGAACUGUCUUUCACUACUAUAGAACUCACUUUAGAUCCCAC